GACGAACGCUGGCGGCGUGCUUAACACAUGCAAGUCGAACGAGAAUCUGUGGAAAGAGGAUUCGUCCAAUUGAAACAGAGGACAGUGGCGGACGGGUGAGUAACGCGUGAGGAACCUGCCUUUCAGAGGGGGACAACAGUUGGAAACGACUGCUAAUACCGCAUAACGCAUAGAAGUCGCAUGGCUUUUAUGCCAAAGAUUUAUCGCUGAAAGAUGGCCUCGCGUCUGAUUAGCUGGUUGGUGAGGUAACGGCCCACCAAGGCAACGAUCAGUAGCCGGACUGAGAGGUUGAACGGCCACAUUGGGACUGAGAUACGGGCCCAGGACUCCUACGGGAGGCAGCAGGUGGGGAAUAGUCGGGGACAAGU
rnacentral:rRNA from 1 species